GGCAGUGGUGGCUCAGUGGUUAAGGCUCUGGGCUACUGAUCUGAAGGUUAGGGGUUCAAGCCCCAUCGCUGCCA